GUCUUUUUGGUAUUAAUUUAAGGUUUAACCUGCCCGAUGAAAAUUUGAAUGGCCGCGGUAUUUUGACUGUGCUAAGGUAGCAUAAUCAUUAGUUUUUUAAUUAAAAGCUGGAAUGAAGGGUUGGAUGAAAAAUUAACUGUCUCUAAUUAAUUUUAUUAGAAUUUUAUUUUUAAGUUAAAAAGCUUAAAUAUUUUUAAAAGACGAGAAGACCCUGUAGAGUUUAAUAUAUUUAAUUUAUUAAUAUUAAGAAUUUACUUUUUAUAAUUAUGGUAUAUUUGAUUGGGGUGAUUAAAAAAUUUAAUAAACUUUUUUUAUAAAUUUAUAUUGAUUAAUAAAUUAAUGAUCCAAAAAUUUUGAUUAUAAGAUAAAUUACCUUAGGGAUAACAGCGUAAUUUUAUUAGAGAGUUCUAAUCGAAAAUAAAGUUUGCGA
rnacentral:rRNA from 1 species